UUUGCCACAUGCACGUGCACGGACGCACGCGCUUCGACUGAGGCCGGGCCCUCGCAUUCCGUGCCGUGAUAGCCCUAUAGUGUUCGAGCACUAUUUCAAAGCUGUGUGCACCGCCGAGGAGCAGUCAUUUCUUGUAACUGGCCCAUCACUACCCUCAGGUCCUGCCACCGGCAAUGCUACCAUGAAUGGGAAAUCCACUGCAGCUGCCCCCCCCC
rnacentral:lncRNA from 1 species